GAUGAAGAACGCAGCGAAAUGCGAUACGUAAUGUGAAUUGCAGAAUUCAGUGAAUCAUCGAAUCUUUGAACGCACAUUGCGCCAGCCAGUAUUCUGGCGGGCAUGCCUGUUCGAGCGUCAUUUCAACCAUCAAGCCCCCGGCUUGUGUUGGGGACCUGCGGCUGCCGCAGGCCCUGAAAACCAGUGGCGGGCUCGCUAGUCACUCCGAGCGUAGUAAUACAUCUCGCUCAGGGCGUGCUGCGGGUUCCGGCCGUUAAAAAGCCUUAUUUACCCAAGGUUGACCUCGGAUCAGGUAGGAAGACCCGCUGAACUUAAGCAUAUCAAUAAGCGGAGGA
rnacentral:misc_RNA from 1 species